rnacentral:lncRNA from 1 species
AGCAGACAAUCUCUAACCCUGCUCCUCUCUAUACAAUACCUGCCCUGCAAUCAAAAAUAUCAAACUGGGGAGUGAGUAUAUGAAUACUCAGUGAGUGGAGUAGAGAGUACUAUGCACAUGAGACAGAAUAUAAUCAUGGCUCGAGAUAAAAUCUCAAGAUCAAUAACAACAUGAACAUAAACUCAACAUAGAGAAUAUAGAGUAAAUCAUCGAUAUCACCACAAUCAAUAUCAACUCAUCUGAAGCAUAUAUGGAAUAAUCAAGUAAACAUAUAUGCUACUCAUGAAUAUGCUCAACAGAUCAUAAUGCUGGAACAUACAAAUCAGGUGUCAAUAUGCUGAAAUCAUCACUAGACAGCUGUCGGGAGGUGGGUUUUACGCCCCAGGCGAACCAGCAACAACUUCCUACUAUCACAUGCAUAUGCAGGAUAAGACACCAUAUCGAUAAUGUAAAUGCUAGACAGCUGUCGGAAGGUGGGUUUUACACCCCAGGCGAACCAGCAACAACUCCCUACUGUCACAUGCAUAUG